UACGUAGGGUGCGAGCGUUAAUCGGAAUUACUGGGCGUAAAGCGUGCGCAGGCGGUGAUGUAAGACCGAUGUGAAAUCCCCGGGCUUAACCUGGGAACUGCAUUGGUGACUGCAUCGCUCGAGUAUGGCAGAGGGGGGGUAGAAUUCCACGUGUAGCAGUGAAAUGCGUAGAGAUGUGGAGGAAUACCGAUGGCGAAGGCAGCCCCCUGGGUCAAUACUGACGCUCAUGCACGAAAGCGUGGGGAGCAAAACGG
rnacentral:rRNA from 1 species